UGGGGAAUAUUGGACAAUGGGCGCAAGCCUGAUCCAGCAAUGCCGCGUGUGUGAAGAAGGCCCUCGGGUUGUAAAGCACUUUUAUCAGGAGCGAAAUCUGCAAGGCUAAUACCCUUGCAGUCUGACGGUACCUGAGGAAUAAGCACCGGCUAACUCCGUGCCAGCAGCCGCGGUAAUACGGAGGGUGCAAGCGUUAAUCGGAAUUACUGGGCGUAAAGCGUGCGUAGGCGGUUCGUUAAGUCUGUUGUGAAAGCCCCGGGCUCAACCUGGGAAUGGCAAUGGAUACUGGCGAGCUAGAGUGUGUCAGAGGAUGGUGGAAUUCCCGGUGUAGCGGUGAAAUGCGUAGAGAUCGGGAGGAACAUCAGUGGCGAAGGCGGCCAUCUGGGACAACACUGACGCUGAGGCACGAAAGCGUGGGGAGCAAACAGGAUUAGAUACCCCUGUAGUCC
rnacentral:rRNA from 1 species